rnacentral:rRNA from 1 species
UACGUAGGGUGCGAGCGUUGUCCGGAAUUAUUGGGCGUAAAGAGCUCGUAGGCGGUCUGUCGCGUCGAUCGUGAAAACUUGGGGCUUAACCCUGAGCUUGCGGUCGAUACGGGCAUGACUGGAGUUCGGCAGGGGAGACUGGAAUUCCUGGUGUAGCGGUGAAAUGCGCAGAUAUCAGGAGGAACACCGGUGGCGAAGGCGGCAUCCUGGACCGAUACUGACGCUGAGGAGCGAAAGCCAGGGGAGCAAACGGG